rnacentral:lncRNA from 1 species
CGGGACCCGGGACGCUGCUCCACUGUUCCAGAGCCACGAGCUAGUAUGGAUGGACGCUGGGCCAGGAAGUCAGAGAGCCUGCACAGAAGCUGGUCCAGUGAUUAGAGCCCCAGCUGUGGCAUAUGGCAAGCCCAGCUGUGCUAUAUACUAACUGUGUAAUCCUGGUUGUGUGACUUGGAGAGAGAUGCCUCACCUCUCUUGACCACUCUAUGCUCCUGUGUAACAGGAAGAUACUACGGGUACCUGUCUACCGAGACUUGCCUGGCGAUUAAAUGAGAUCAUGGGUAAAGUCCCAAAGAGGGUGGGACAUAAGGUGAGCCCAUCUGGCAGCUGUCAUCACAAGUCCUGAUCUGAAAGGAGUUACAAAUUACCACGAAUACUGCUACUGUGCCCAGGCUCACGAGAGGAAACCAAAGAGCUCUAUCUACUGCACCUAGAAGUAAUGACAGACAGUACCAAACCAAGGCAUGCUAGGGAGGGAAAGACUGAUUCUGACCAAAGGAAGAGGUGACACUUGAGCUGGGCUUUGAUGGAUGGUUGGGUUUCACCGGGCAGAGAGAGGGGAGCAGUGUGGCAGGAAGUGGGAGCAACUUGGCAAAAAAAAAAAAAAAAAAAAAAAAAAAAAUCAGAAGGCAGAUUCUUCAACCUUGACCUUCUGAGAAACAGAGAAACAGGAGCGUUCUAUUUGGGAAGACCUGAGCAGCCAAGAUAGUGAAGUGAAUCUAGUCUGGACCCUAUGAGAACUGGAAUGUAGACCACCAGGUGUCCAGCCUGCUUCUAGGCAUCCCUUGGGCCUCAGAGUCCCAGCUUCACGCAGAGAACAGAGGGGAAAGGGGCUGCACCUGUCCUCUGGUAUUUUGCAUUUGAUUAAAC